rnacentral:rRNA from 1 species
AUUGAACGCUGGCGGCAGGCCUAACACAUGCAAGUCGAGCGAGCAGCGGACGGGUGAGUACUGUAUGGGGACAGCCCGAAAGAGGGGGGUAACGACUGGAAAAGGUAGCUAAGACCGCAUACUAUCGGAUAACCGAUAUGGGAUUAGAUAGUAGGUGAGGUAAUGGCUCACCUAGGCGACGAUCCCUAGCUGGUCUGAGAGGAUGAUCAGCCACCCUGGGACUGAGACACGGCCCAGACUCCUACGGAGGCAGCAGUGGGGAAUAUUGCACAAUGGGCGCAAGCCUGCUGCAGCCAUGCCGCGUGUAUGAAGAAGGCCCUAGGGUUGUAAAGUACUUUCAGUCGGGAGGCGUUACCGACAGAAGAAGCACCGGCUAACUCCGUGCCAGCAGCCGCGGUAAUUC